ACGAAUGCAAAUACAUAUUCAUGCCGGUGUGUAGUACCAAUCAACGCCAUUUUGUCUUGUUCCUAUUCGCAGUUGAAGAUUGGAUGGUUACCAUAAUUGACCCGCACUACAAUGACACUAAGUAUAUUAAGUUACAUGAAAUGUACUCAGAAUUCGUUAAAGUUGCGGUAUGUUUAGUUUUAAAAUAUUUUAAUUUUAUAAUGUCCUUUAAUAUUAAAAAAUUAUUAACCAACUACUUUGUACAUGCAGGUACAUUUGAUACCAUUUUGUUUGCGAAAUGGUAAUCCGAUGCGUGAGUGGCCCAGCGGUAAUCCUACUGUGCAGACCUUAAAG
rnacentral:lncRNA from 1 species